CGAUCCGGGCUGGAGAGA
rnacentral:misc_RNA from 1 species